GGAUGAGCCCGCGGCCUAUCAGCUUGUUGGUGAGGUAAUGGCUCACCAAGGCGACGACGGGUAGCCGGCCUGAGAGGGCGACCGGCCACACUGGGACUGAGACACGGCCCAGACUCCUACGGGAGGCAGCAGUGGGGAAUAUUGCACAAUGGGCGAAAGCCUGAUGCAGCGACGCCGCGUGAGGGAUGACGGCCUUCGGGUUGUAAACCUCUUUCAGCAGGGAAGAAGCGAAAGUGACGGUACCUGCAGAAGAAGCGCCGGCUAACUACGUGCCAGCAGCCGCGG
rnacentral:rRNA from 1 species